rnacentral:misc_RNA from 1 species
AAGAGUUUAUAAAACUCCCAAACCCAUGUGAACUUACCACUGUUGCCUCGGCGGGACCUACCCUAUAGCUACCCUGUAGCUCGGGGCGGGCUACCCUGUAGCGGACCGCCGGUGGAUUUUGAACUCGUUAUGUUAGUGUUAUCUGAGCGUCUUAUUUUAAAUAAGUCA